UACGAAGGGGGCAAGCGUUGUUCGGAAUUACUGGGCGUAAAGGGCGCGUAGGCGGCUUACCAAGUCAGGCGUGAAAUUCCCGGGCUCAACCUGGGGGACUGCGCUUGAUACUGGUGAGCUUGAAUGCGGGAGAGGAUAGUGGAAUUCCCAGUGGUAGAGGUGAAAUUCGUAGAUAUUCGCAAGAACACCAGUGGCGAAAGGCGGACUCACUGGCCCGGUACGUGACGCUGAGGUGCGAAAGCGUGGGGAGCAAACAGGGA
rnacentral:rRNA from 1 species